rnacentral:tRNA from 1 species
GAGCUCAUAGCUCAGUGGCAGAGCGCUUCGUUGACAUCGAAGAGGUCGAUGGUUCAAAUCCAUCUGAGCUCA